rnacentral:sRNA from 1 species
GCUGGGCGCAGUGGCGCACGCCUGUAAUCCCAGAGGCUUGGGAGGCUGAGGCAGGAGGAUCGAGAGUUCAAAGCCAGCCUCAGCAACUCAGCUGAGACCCUGUCUCUA